UUUAGCUGAAGUUUGAGAAGAAUUAACAGAAGUUAUGAUGGAUCUCAUAAAAAAUAUAUUUUCAACAGAAAAUGUUCUGAAUUACUGAACUAAUUACACCCUGCCUAAUCUACAAAUAACUGACAUGAUGUCAUUGAAGAAUACUGGGAUCAUUUUCUGUAGAUGUAUAUAAUUUCAUAAGAGAAGGAAAAUGAGAAAACUUAUUUUUUGUAUCUAUACUGGUGGAAGUCAUUGUUAAUGAUGCGUUCCAAGGAAUUUCAACUUGUAAGGUCUUGAAAAUUUAAAUGAUUCUGGAAACUUUCAUUUUAAAAUUCCUGAAGAAACAUUAGUUGUGAAAGAAGAGGUGGUAUACAAUGAAAAUGUGCCAUCAACGUCAUAUGAAAAGGAAAUUUCUAUUGAACAUUUCCAUAUCGUUAAUCACAAAACGCUUAUUAAAACUGAGGAGGUUGAUGGAACAUUUAGGUCUGGGUACUGUUUGAAUUCAGUUGAGGAGAGGAUUCAAGAAGAAAACAAAAAGUGCUCAAAAAAUUGGAAUAAAAGAACCAAUAUUGAAAACCGACCUACCAGGAAGACCCGCUUUUCUUGUAAAGUGUGCACAAAAUCAUUUAGUAAAAAUAAUGAUCUGAAAAGACAUGAAAUAAUUCAUUCUGGUGAAAGACCCUUUCAGUGUAAAAUCUGCUCUAAAGCUUUUAUUCAGCAAAGUUAUUUGAAAUUGCAUGAAAAAAUUCAUACUGGCGAUAAAACAUUCAAGUGUCAAAUCUGCCCUAAAUCAUACAUUCGAAGAGGCAGUUUGAAAAAACAUGAAAAAACUCAUACUGGUGAAAAACCCUUUCAGUGCAAAAUCUGCUCUAAAUCCUUCAUUGAAGCCAGUGAUUUCAAAAGACAUGAAAACAUGCAUGCUGGCGAAAAACCCUUUCAGUGUCAAAUCUGCUCUAAAUCUUUUACUAAGCAAAGUUAUUUGAAAUUUCAUGAAAACAUUCAUACUGGGGAUAAACCAUUUAAGUGUAAAAUCUGUCCCAAAGCAUACAUUCAUGCAGGUGGUUUGAAAGAACAUAAAAAAUAUCAUACUGGUGAAAAACCGUUUCAGUGUGAAAUCUGCUCUAAAUCAUUUACUCUGAAAUGUUAUUUGAAAUUGCAUGAAAAAAUCCAUACUGGUGAAAAACCAUUUCAGUGUGAAAUUUGCUCUAAAUCUUUCAUUCAGAGAAUUCAUUUGAAAAUGCAUGAAAAACAUCAUACUGGCGAAAAACCAUUUCAGUGCAAAAUCUGCUCCAAAUCUUUCAUUCAAGCCAGUGAUUGUAAAAGACAUGAAAAAAUUCAUACUGACAAAAAACUUUUUCAGUGUGACAUCUGCUCUAAAUCUUUCACUCUGAAAAGUUAUUUGAAAAUACAUGAAAAAAUUCAUACUGGCGAUAAACCAUUCAAGUGUUAAAUCUGCCCCAAACCAUACAUUCAAGGAGGUGAUUUGAAAAAAAAAUAACAAAAAUCAUACUGGUGAAAAACCGUUUCAGUUUGAAAUCAUAUGUAUUUUUUUUACUCAGAAAGGUUACUUUAAAUUGCAUUAAAUAAUUAAUACUGGUGAUAAACUAUUCAAAUAUAAAAUCUGCCCCAAAUCAUACAUUCAAAAAGUUGAUUUGAAAUGACAUGAAACAAUAUAUAUUCGCGAAAAACCAGUUCAUUAUAAAUUAUGAGUGUGUUUUGGAAUUAAUUAUUUCUCAAAAUUGAAGAGAAUGAAAUGUUUCCUUUGGCAUUUAUUGACAAAACUGUUUUUCUAUUUUUUAUAUCCACACAAUAGCAACUAUAUACAACUAAUUGAAUAAAAGUAUAUAUAAACUAAA
rnacentral:lncRNA from 1 species